UUGUGUAUUUAUUUAUUUUCUGCUCAUAAGUUGUAAUUAUGAGUGUAUUUUAUAAAAGUAAAUUGCAUUAUAUUAUUGUAUGUUCGUAUGUUUAAUUUUAGGGACUAAAGCGGCAGAGAGAUGGAAUGAUCGAGGACAAGACAAGAGGAGGACAAGAAAAUCUGUGCGAAAAGAUAGAGAAGUGACAAUUAAACUACUGAAAGAUGGAAAAGAAGAUCGUGCGAAGAUACUGAUGACGAGGGUGAAAUGCAAAGAGCGAGAUCUUCAAGAGUCUUAUGGCCAGCUGAGGAACUUGCAGGAGCGUGUGUACACCAUGGAAUUGGCCCUAAUUUUAUGCAGAUAAAGUUUCAUCGUUCUAAUAAAAGUUUUCUCUUGAGUAAUGCUGAAAGCUGGGACACCCCAGUUAAUCAACGCAGCACUCGGGACACAAGAAAAGAACCAGGGACGAAUGCAGCAAUCGUUGCCUCAAACUGUGUAGGGUAAAGAGGGGACGAGCUACUAAGUUUUUUCACUGAACAUAAUACCUACCUACAACUCAGCGCUACAGCACUGGGUGAGCCACUGCCUCCUUUACAACCAGUCUCCACAACCAAUGCGUGCUGCCAUAGGAAUGGAUCCACUCAUGAUGACCAGA